GCUUAACUUAGGAAUUGCAUUCGAUACUGGGAAGCUAGAGUAUGGGAGAGGAUGGUAGAAUUCCAGGUGUAGCGGUGAAAUGCGUAGAGAUCUGGAGGAAUACCGAUGGCGAAGGCAGCCAUCUGGCCUAAUACUGACGCUGAGGUACGAAAGCAUGGGGAGCAAACAGGAUUAGAUACCCUGGUAGUCCAUGCCGUAAACGAUGUCUACUAGCCGUUGGGGCCUUUGAGGCUUUAGUGGCGCAGCUAACGCGAUAAGUAGACCGCCUGGGGAGUACGGUCGCAAGACUAAAACUCAAAUGAAUUGACGGGGGCCCGCACAAGCGGUGGAGCAUGUGGUUUAAUUCGAUGCAACGCGAAGAACCUUACCUGGUCUUGACAUAGUAAGAACUUUCCAGAGAUGGAUUGGUGCCUUCGGGAACUUACAUACAGGUGCUGCAUGGCUGUCGUCAGCUCGUGUCGUGGGAUGUUGGGUUAAGUCCCGCAACGAGCGCAACCCUUUUCCUUAUUUGCCAGCGGGUUAAGCCGGGAACUUUAAGGAUACUGCCAGUGACAAACUGGAGGAAGGCGGGGACGACGUCAAGUCAUCAUGGCCCUUACGACCAGGGCUACACACGUGCUACAAUGGUCGGUACAAAG
rnacentral:rRNA from 1 species